rnacentral:misc_RNA from 1 species
GAUGAAGAACGUAGCGAAAUGCGAUACGUAAUGGGAAUUGCAGAAUUCAGUGAAUCAUCGAAUCUUUGAACGCAUAUUGCGCUCUCUGGUAUUCCGGAGAGCAUGCUUGUUUGAGUAUCAGUAAACACCUCAACUUCCAUAUCUUUUUUGAAAUGGGAGUUGGACUUGAGUGAUCCCAACGCUUUUCCUCACCGAAAAGCGGCGGGUUACUUGAAAUGCAGGUGCAGCUGGACUUUUCUCUGAGCUAUAAGCAUAUCUAUUUAGUCUGCCUAAAAAACAGAUUAUUACCUUUGCUGCAGCUAACAUAAAGGAGAUUAGUUCUUGUGCUGACUGAUGCAGGAUUCACAAAGACAGGCUUCGGCCGACUUUGUAAACUCGAUCUCAAAUCAAGUAAGACUACCCGCUGAACUUAAGCAUAUCAAUAAGCGGAGGA